rnacentral:tRNA from 1 species
CAUCAGAUGACUGAAAGAAAGUAAUGGUCUCUUAAACCAAUUUAUAGUAAAUAACGAUUACUUCUGAUG